CAAGGAAUCUUCCGCAAUGGGGGCAACCCUGACGGAGCAACGCCGCGUGGGGGAUGACGCCCUUCGGGGUGUAAACCCCUUUUCUGCGGGAAGAAGGUGGGGCAACCCACUUGACGGUACCGCAGGAAGAAGGACCGGCUAACUACGUGCCAGCAGCCGCGGUAAUACGUAGGGUCCGAGCGUUGUCCGGAGUUACUGGGCGUAAAGCGCGCGUAGGCGGCGGUGCUGGCCCGGCGUGAAAGCCCCCGGCUCAACCGGGGAGGGUCGUCGGGGACCGCACCGCUUGAGGGCGGUAGGGGCUGGUGGAAUGCCUGGUGUAGUGGUGAAAUGCGUAGGGAUCAGGCGGAACACCCGUGGCGAAGGCGGCCAGCUGGGCCGUCCCUGACGCUGAGGCGCGAAGGCGUGGGGAGCGAACGGG
rnacentral:rRNA from 1 species